GUCCACGCCCUAAACGAUGUCAACUGGUUGUCGGGAAGCAAUUCCUUGGUAACGAAGCUAACGCGUGAAGUUGACCGCCUGGGGAGUACGGCCGCAAGGUUAAAACUCAAAGGAAUUGACGGGGACCCGCACAAGCGGUGGAUUAUGUGGAUCAAUUCGAUGCAAACGCGAAAAAACCUUACCUACCCUUGACAUGUACGGAACCCCGCAGAAAAUGCGGGGGUGCCCGAAAGGGAGCCGUAACACAGGUGCUGCAUGGCUGUCGU
rnacentral:rRNA from 1 species